GUUUUGGCUGAGGAGAAGCAAUUUGUUGGUUCCACUUGUGGUUUUGAGUGAACUGUUUCGAGGAUGUAUUCCAUACCUGUUGACCAAAUCUGAUUUAUUAGAUAGUCUUGUGCCCAUUACCAGGUUCAAGGUGAUUCCUGGAUUAUAAUUUCUUUGUUGUGGGUUCUGUCUCUGGUUACCUGCAACUGGUUCUAUUCUUCUUUUUCAAAAGGAAAGGUGGAUAGGCAUAUGGGUUGUCAUGGUUUUAUUGUGAAAGAGGUGGGAUGAUAGACCCUCCUUUCUCCUGAUCCACUGUUUCUGAGACAAUUUGCUUAAUUAAGAUAACUUGGCAUGUUCUUUAUAUUUCAAAGCCAUGCUUCUUCCCUUUCUCAUUUAUUUGAUGAUAGAAUUGUGAAUUGAUAAAAUUUUAACCAAGGACUUAUCUGAUGCAGCUCCUUUGCUUUACCACUUGAGCUAAUGCCUAGUGCAUAUUAAGAUUGAAAUGACUAUCCAAUCAAAUCAGUGCCGUUCAUGUUUAAAGAGACUGAAUACCGGAUGGGUCAUUCUGUUUUGUUUCUAGCUGUAGUUUUGCUUCUGAAAUUUGGCUACAUUUGUUCUAUCACCGAGUGAUCUUCAUAAGGGUAGUGGUUGAGGUUGUGAGUGCAAAUGCAACAUGAUAUGAAAUCUAUUUGUUUUGCUAUUUUUUUGGUGAAUUCGAAAGGGAGGAAAAUCGAAAUUGUGGGGUUGUCUGGAUCAGAGGGAUAAGUGGCAUAUGCUUUUCAGGUUGCAAAUUUCAUAUCUGCUUCCUGGUCUUGAGGAGGUUGUCCUUUAUGGGGAGGUUCCUCCCGCAUAUUAUCCAUUUUUAGGUCAUAUUUUAACAUAAGAGUGUAUAUAAAUUUAAUUACAAGUAUAGUAAAUCAAAUGUCAGGGAUUCAGGAUUAUACUUGGUGUACAUUAUUUUUUAUGUAUGUCUGAAUUAAAAUUCUCUGUCCUUAAAUCAAUCUUAUCAGCUAAUGUUUAAUCUUCCUUGUAUGUUCUUUGUGCUCAUUCUGAUUGAGUUUGUGAUACUUAUUUGUCCAUCCAUUUUAGUUGCUCUUUGAUACCAAAUCAACCAGA
rnacentral:misc_RNA from 1 species